AUGGUUCCAUCAUUCUCUCUGUACCAACUGAAGAGAC
rnacentral:sRNA from 1 species